CUUUGUAGCAGACACAGAUUAUGGAGAGUUUUGAAAGGAAGGAGAAUUGUAAUGUCAGUACCAAACUGUCAUUCAUUUCAGAAGGAGAAAUUCAAUUUGCAAUGUCUCAAGAGUUUAAGAAGGUAUUCUCAAGGAGAGUGUUGGCCCACUGCAUGGCACAAGCACAAGAACUCGGGAAGUACUAUCUAAAGAUGAAAAGUGCAGAAGAAAGGGGCUGUUGGAAGACAGGUAAAGGUUGUGAACUGAAAAAAUACAUAUUUUAGAUUUUGCUUGAUUUUAAGAGACUUGGGAGAAUUCAAGUAGAUAUAUGGAAAAAAUGAAGGCACUUCUAAUGAAGAUCAUAUCUUUUCUUUCCUUUUUUUUUUUUAGUUAUGUAUUUUUUUAAUUUUAAAAUCUUUCAUUCUUACAGGCGUUCCCAAACAUGAAUCACCCUCCCACCUCCCUCCCCAUAACAUCUCUGUGGGUCAUCCCCAUGCACCAGCCCCAAGCAUGCUGCAUCCUGCGUCAGACAUAGACUGGCGAUUCAAUUCUUACAUGAUAGUAUACAUGUUAGAAUGCCAUUCUCCCAAAUCAUCGCACUCUCUCCCUCUCCCUCUGAGUCCAAAAGUCCAUUAUACACAUCUGUGUCUUUUUUCCUGUCUUGCAUACAGGGUCGUCAUUGCCAACUUUCUAAAUUCCAUAUAUAUGUAUUAGUAUACUGUAUUGGUGUUUUUCUUUCUGGCUUACUUCACUCUGUAUAAUCGGCUCCAGUUUCAUCCAUCUCAUCAGAAGUGAUUCAAAUGAAUUCUUUUUAACGGCUGAGUAAUAUUCCAUUGUGUAUAUGUACCACAGCUUUCUUAUCCAUUCAUCUGCUGAUGGACAUCUAGGUUGUUUCCAUGUCCUGGCUAUUAUAAACAGUGCUGCGAUGAACAUUGGGGUACAUGUGUCUCUUUCAAUUCUGGUUUCCUCGGUGUGUAUGCCCAGCAGUGGGAUUGCUGGGUCAUAAGGUAGUUCUAUUUGCAAUUUUUUAAGGAAUCUCCACACUGUUCUCCAUAGUGGCUGUACUAGUUUGCAUUCCCACCAACAGUGUAGGAGGGUUCCCUUUUCUCCACAUCUUUUCUACUUUGAAAAUAUUAUUUGCUCAGUUACAAAUGUGUAUGUAUGUGUCAGUCAUUUGGUCGUGUCCAACUCUUUGAGACUCCAUGGAGCCCACCAGGCUCCUCUGUCCAUGGAAUUCUCCAGGCAACAAUACUGGAGUGGGUUGCCAUACCCUUCUCUAGGGAAAUUAUGUCUCAACUUAAGAAUAUUUUUGAUUAUGUAUUUUGUAUGAAAUACUACUUUUCUUUCUGAAUGAUGUUUCUU
rnacentral:lncRNA from 1 species